CCUACGGGUGGCAGCAGUGGGGAAUAUUGCUCAAUGGGGGAAACCCUGAAGCAGCCACGCCGCGUGAGGGAAGAAGUAUCUCGGUAUGUUAAACUCCUUUUGUCGGGGAGAAAAUGACGGUACGUGUUUAAGAAGCCCCGGCUAACUACGGGCCAGAAGCCGCGGUAAUACGGAGGGGGCCAGCGUUAUCCGGAUUUACUGGGUGUUAAGGGGGCGUAUUCGGGAUUAUAAGUCAGGAGUGAAAUGCUGGGGCUUAACCACAGAACUGCUGUGGAAACUGUGCGGCUAGAGUGUAGGAGAGGUAAGUGGAAUGCUUGGUGUAGCGGUGAAAUGCGUAGAUAUCAGGAAGAACACCGAUUGCGAAGGCAGCUUACUAGACUAUAACUGACGUUGAGGCUCGAAAGCGUGGGGAGCAAACAGGAUUAGAUACCCGAGUAGUC
rnacentral:rRNA from 1 species